rnacentral:rRNA from 1 species
ACGGGAGGCAGCAGUGGGGAAUAUUGCACAAUGGGCGCAAGCCUGAUGCAGCGAUGCCGCGUGAGGGAAGAAGGUUUUCGGAUUGUAAACCUCUGUCAACAGGGACGAAAAUGACGGUACCUGUGAAGGAAGCUCCGGCUAACUACGUGCCAGCAGCCGCGGUAAUACGUAGGGAGCAAGCGUUAUCCGGAAUUACUGGGUGUAAAGGGCGUGUAGCCGGGUCGGCAAGUCAGAUGUGAAAUCCACGGGCUUAACUCGUGAACUGCAUUUGAAACUGCGGAUCUUGAGUAUCGGAGAGGCAAUCGGAAUUCCUUGUGUAGCGGUGAAAUGCGUAGAUAUAAGGAGGAACACCAGUGGCGAAGGCGGAUUGCUGGACGACAACUGACGGUGAGGCGCGAAAGCGUGGGGAGCAAACAGGAUUAGAUACCCUGGUA